rnacentral:rRNA from 1 species
AGUGGCGAACGGGUGAGUAACACGUGGGCAACCUGCCCCUUAGUUGAGGAUAACUAUUGGAAACGAUAGCUAAUACUGAAUACGAUGUACAAACGCAUGUGAGUACAUUGAAAGAAGCGUUUGCUUCGCUAAGGGAUGGGCCUGCGGUGCAUUAGCUAGUUGGUGCGGUAACGGCGUACCAAGGCGACGAUGCAUAUCCGGGCUGAGAGGCUGAACGGACACAUUGGGACUGAGACACGGCCCAAACUUCUACGGAAGGCUGCAGUAGGGAAUUUUUCGCAAUGGGCGCAAGCCUGACGAAGCAAUGCCGCGUGAGGGAUGAAGGUUUUCGGAUUGUAAACCUCUGUUAUAAGGGAAGAAAACCUAGUAUAGGAAAUGAUACUAGCUUGGCGGUACCUUAUCAGAAAGGGACGGCUAACUACGUGCCAGCAGCCGCGGUAAUACGUAGGUCCCGAGCGUUAUCCGGAAUUAUUGGGCGUAAAGAGCAUGUAGGCGGUCUAUUAAGUCUGGUGUGAAAUCUAGUGGCUCAACCACUAAAUUGCAUUGGAAACUGAUGGA